CUCUGUCACCCAGGCUGGAGUGCAGUGGCGCAAUCUUGGCUCACUGCAAGCUCUGCCUCCCGGGUUCACGCCAUUCUCCUGACUCAGCCUCCCGAGUAGCUGGGACUACAGGCACCUGCCGCCAUGCCUGGCUAAUUUUUUUUGUAUUUUUAGUAGAGAUGGGGUUUCACUGUGUUAACCAGGAUGGUCUCGAUCUCCUGACCUUGUGAUCUGCCUGCCUCGGCCUCCCAAAGUGCUGGGAUUGCAGGCAUGAGCCACUGCACCCGGCCAGUCCCAGGUAAUUAAAAAAAAUUUUUUUUGUAGGAAUGGGGUCUUGCUAUGUUACCCAGACUGGUCUCAAACUCCUGGCCUCAAGUGAUCCUCCUGCUCUGGCCUUCCAAAGUGCUGGAAGAUGAGAGCUACAGAUGAGAGCCACCACACUUGACCAUCACCAGGGUUUUCUACUACAAUAUUGCUUGAGGCUUUUACUGCUACUUGGAUUUCAAGCAAUGUCCCCAGUUCAGGUGGAAAACAGUCACCUCGAAAAUGGAGAAGAUGAGUCUGAGGAAGAAUUACAUUCUACAGAAGAAAUGCGGUCCAGGACAGUCCACAUUCACUUCCUUCAUUCAGAUACUCAUUUCUUAGCCACAAUUACCCAAUUUUGAGCCAUGCUUCUAUAAUGAGAUACCACUGAGUUCUGCGGUUCUAACUCCUUAAUCUCUCAUGUCAGUCUCCUCUUGCCUUCUGUCUUCCACUGCUUUAGGGCUUGGAUUACAUGCGUGAGCCACCACACUGGCCCCAUGCACAAUAUUAACCAGUGGAACCAGCAUUCCUCAUAUAAAAUCACUUUGUUAGCCUUCUAACUGUUCUUUGCAAUCCAGCUAACAUCCCUUCAAAACACACUUCAGGGUAAUCUUUUAUUUUAUUUAUUUAUUUUAUUUAUUUAUUUAUUUUUUUUUUUU
rnacentral:lncRNA from 1 species